rnacentral:rRNA from 1 species
GGUCGACUCGCGAUGCAUCUAGACUGGCCUUGACAUCCAGAGAACUUUCCAGAGAUGGAUUGGUGCCUUCGGGAACUCUGAGACAGGUGCUGCAUGGCCGUCGUCAGCUCGUGUCGUGAGAUGUUGGGUUAAGUCCCGUAACGAGCGCAACCCCUAUCCCUGGUUGCUAGCAGGUAAUGCUGAGAACUCCAGGGAGACUGCCGGUGACAAUCCGGAGGAAGGUGGGGAUGACGUCAGGUCAUCAUGGCCCUUACGGCCAGGGCUACACACGUGCUACAAUGGCGCGUACAGAGGGCUGCCAACUCGCGAGAGUGAGCCAAUCCCUUAAAACGCGUCGUAGUCCGGAUCGGAGUCUGCAACUCGACUCCGUGAAGUCGGAAUCGCUAGUAAUCGCGAAUCAGAAUGUCGCGGUGAAUACGUUCCC